UACGGGGGGAGCAAGCGUUGUUCGGAAUCACUGGGCGUAAAGGGUGUGUAGGCGGGCAGGUAAGUCGGGCGUGAAAACUCCAAGCUCAACUUGGAGCCUGCGUUCGAUACUGCUUGUCUUGAGUACGGGAGAGGAAAGUGGAAUUCCUGGUGUAGCGGUGAAAUGCGUAGAUAUCAGGAGGAACACCGGUGGCGAAGGCGGCUUUCUAGCCCGAUACUGACGCUGAGACACGAAGGCUAGGGGAGCAAACAGGAUUAGAUACCCUCGUA
rnacentral:rRNA from 1 species